GUAGGUGGCAAGCGUUGUCCGGAAUUAUUGGGCGUAAAGCACGCGCAGGCGGUUCUUUAAGUCUGAUGUGAAAGCCCACGGCUCAACCGUGGAGGGUCAUUGGAAACUGGAGAACUUGAGUACAGAAGAGGAAAGCGGAAUUCCACGUGUAGCGGUGAAAUGCGUAGAGAUGUGGGGGAACACCAGUGGCGAAGGCGGCUUUCUGGUCUGUAACUGACGCUGAGGCGCGAAAGCGUGGGGAGCAAACAGGGAUUAGAUACCCUGGUAGUCCACGCCGUAAACGAUGAGUGCUAAGUGUUAGGGGGUUUCCGCCCCCUUAGUGCUGCAGCUAACGCAUUAAGCACUCCGCCUGGGGAGUACGGCCGCAAGGCUG
rnacentral:rRNA from 1 species